rnacentral:rRNA from 1 species
AAACCUGAGAAACCCGAAAGUUCGAAUGAAAAGAUUCAAUAUUCUUCAAUUGGUUGUACAUUUACUUUGUGAUUAUGUGAUAGUUUUGUGUUAAUUUCUUUAUCCUUGGAUUUUGAAUGUACAUAUUCUACACCACUUUGUUUAUGAACUAAAUACAACUAUGAAGGUAUGCACUUCUUUUCUAGUAGGACGUUGCGACCCAUUGAAUGUUAAUCUACGGCUACUCGUUAGAGCCUAUUCCUAUUUUACUUAAUUGUAUUUAUGGGAAAUAGAUUUCUGAGUGUGUCCCGAAUAACUGUUCGAUGGUAUUAUAAAACCAUAAUAUUGGAUCGCCACUUUGUCUGGGCAUUUGGUAUUCAUUCAAGUAUGUAAGGUAAUUUAAAUGUCAGGGGCUCUUGUACUGGCUUUGAAUCCUAACUACUGUUCGAGUGAAAUUUACUAUCAAAUAGUAUCCUUUUAUUGGUCAGCAACGCUGUUGCUUUGGGUACUUUCAGGAC